CAAUAGCGUAUAUUAAAGCUGUUGCGGUUAAAAAGCUCGUAGUUGGAUUUCUGUCAAGGACAACUGGUCCGCCCUCCGGGUGAGCACAUAGUUUGGUCUUGGCAUCUUGCUGGAAGCUGUUGCUGCACUUGGCUGUGUGGCGCAGCGUCCAGCACUUUCACUUUGAGGAAAUUGGAGUGUUUCAAGCAGGCACAUGCCUUUGGACACAGUAGCAUGGAAUAAUUAGAUUGGGCUUUUGCUCCAAUUUGUCGGUUUCUGGAGCUGAGGUGAGAAUUAAUGGGGAUUGUUGGGGGCAUCCGAAUUUAGCCGUCAGAGGUGCAAUUCUUGGAUCUGCUAAAGACGGACAACUGCGAAAGCGUUUGCCCAGGAUGUUUUCAUUGA
rnacentral:rRNA from 1 species